rnacentral:rRNA from 1 species
GAUCCUGGCUCAGGAUGAACGCUAGCUACAGGCUUAACACAUGCAAGUCGAGGGGAAACGACAUCGAAAGCUUGCUUUUGAUGGGCGUCGGCCGGCGCACGGGUGAGUAACGCGUAUCCAACCUGCCUACCACUUGGGGGAUAACCUUGCGAAAGUAAGACUAAUACCCAAUGACAUCCCACGAAGACAUCUGAAUGGGAUUAAGGAUUUAUCGGUGAUGGAUGGGGAUGCGUCUGAUUAG